CCUUUUACCCAUUUCUUAUGUAUGAGCUUUUACAAUUGAAAUUUUGGACAAGACUGCAUCUCCCACUACCUACAGUUUUUGUUUCGGUCAAUCUUAGAUUUCCUCUUCCAUGCAUCUCCCACUACCGAGAUUCGGUUUGAGAGCAUCUUUCUUAUAUCAUUCCUCGUGUGGCCUGCAUACUUUUGGAAUGAUUAGAAUGAUGUUCAAAAUCCACUUAGCUGACAUCGUCAAUGUCGAACAAAACAACCACUGAUUUAAUGAUGGCAUAGUUUUGUAGGACCUCAAAAAAAAUGUCAAUGUUAUCUACUUCAAGAAACUGAAAUACAUGUGUCAUGCAGGCUCUAAGGGGAAAUGUGAAGCUUCAUCAUCAACUUCCUUUCAGUGUGGAGAUGACCUUUUAAUUCACUAUGCAAAGGAGAAUAACAUUGCUAAGAAAAUUACCAUGUUUUGAGAAUUUAGGUAAAUAACUUUCAUACAAUGAAUUUUCAAUGUAAAAGCAGCCUAGUAGAAAUUAGAGCAUAAUAUCAUGACGUGUAAAAAAGUUCAAGAAAUUACACUAAAAAUGGAAAAUUGUAAACUGAAUUCAAGCAAGAAGCAGCAUAGAAAAUAAACUGAAUACCAAACCAACUUUCUAUGUACUGCAGCCAAUAUCUUUCAUAUCGACAUAAAUAGAGAAGCUAAGUAAAAUCAGCUAAGAAUACUGAAGAGCGCUCUGUUAUGUUCAAUGACACAUAUGUGAAGGGUUAGCCAAACCCCAUUAGUAAACUAAACAUGUUAGCUUUGUAGUAAAAUAAUUUAGGAAAAUGGAUGACUGCAUCAAGGGAGGAGCAAUGGAUCGGAAGCUCACCUCAACCAGCUUCAAAACUGGCAGUGGCCUUCACAU
rnacentral:lncRNA from 1 species